UGCUAUAGGAAUUUUACUUCAUAGACUUCUCAGUAUUACAAGGACCAUAGGUUUGAGUUGAUUAUUUUAAUGGAUAUUAAAACAUAUAUGUAGUUCCUUGAUCAUUAAGUAGAGUUUGGUUGCACCAUCACUGCCUUUUUGGCUAUCAAGCUUAUUUAGAAGUGUCUUUUGGUAUACAUUUGUUAUCUGGGAGAGGCUAUAGGAAUUUAACUCAUAGAUUUGCUGGUAUCAUAAGCACCUUUAGAUUGACUAACAAUAUAUUUGAAAUGUUGGUCUUUUCCAAUAUUCAGGUUAGGUUGAAGAGAUACUUGGAGAUGAGGGGUGCUGAUGGAGGACCGGCCUUAGAGAAGCUUAUGUGCGUUGCUUGCAUUUUGGGUAAUAAGCUAAGCUACUGCAACCUUCUCUUUCCAGAUCGCUUUGCUUGCAUUUCAAUUGGGUUUUGGCGACUAGCUCAGCUCCUUCCUAGACACUUAUUUUUCUGAAUAUGGCAUGGAGGCCAUCUACUUUGAUGAAGGUGUAAGGAACUCAAGACGACACCAACUGGAAACAAAAGCAUUGGAUGUAUGACUACUCUCUCUAUGUUUCUAAUAUAACAAAUUUUGGUUAAGUUUUUUCCAGUUUGAAACAGCUCCUGGAAAUCAGUUUACAUUUUUUGUUUCAUUACCAUGCGUAUUGUAGUUUAAAAGUUGCUUUUGUUUGAACUUUCCAAUUUUUGUUCUCUGCUGAUACUACCAUGCUCAAGCAUUGAAAAACUUUAAAUUGACAUUGGAGCAGUCAUUAAACAAAGGAGAAGGAUUUGCCUCAUCUGUUCAAACCUGUAAGGAAGGAUGCAUGCUUCAG